CUCUGUCCCAAAUUUCUUGUCUUAGAUUUGUCUAGAUACAGAUGUAUCUAAUACUAAAAUGUGACUUGAUACAUCCGUAUCUAGACAAAUCUAAGACAAGAAUUUUGGGACGGAGGGAGUAGUUU
rnacentral:pre_miRNA from 1 species